GACGAACGCUGGCGGCGUGCUUAACACAUGCAAGUCGAGCGAUGAAGUUUCCUUCGGGAAACGGAUUAGCGGCGGACGGGUGAGUAACACGUGGGUAACCUGCCUCAUAGAGGGGAAUAGCCUUUCGAAAGGAAGAUUAAUACCGCAUAAGAUUGUAAUGUCGCAUGACAUAGCAAUUAAAGGAGUAAUCCGCUAUGAGAUGGACCCGCGUCGCAUUAGCUAGUUGGUGAGGUAACGGCUCACCAAGGCGACGAUGCGUAGCCGACCUGAGAGGGUGAUCGGCCACAUUGGGACUGAGACACGGCCCAGACUCCUACGGGAGGCAGCAGUGGGGAAUAUUGCACAAUGGGGGAAACCCUGAUGCAGCAACGCCGCGUGAGUGAUGACGGUCUUCGGAUUGUAAAGCUCUGUCUUUAGGGACGAUAAUGACGGUA
rnacentral:rRNA from 1 species